AGCAACUUGGCCAAUACCUUGAUUUCAGACUCCUGGCUUUCAGAACUGUGAGAGGAUCCAUUUCUGUUGCUUUCAGUUGCACUGUUUGUGGUCACUGGCGUGUGAAAUAGACACCGGUGAAGAGAAGAGGCCAAAGUGAAAGAAGCCUGAAUGAACCUUCAGUUCUACUUGUGCCAGCCAGGCUGGAAAUUGCAGUCCCCGCGCUGACCUCAGAGAACCAAGGCGAGCACAUAUAACUAUUGUCCACGGGGAACAGCCAAGACUCUGUGAGCAUGGAAAAUGAAGCCAGCGGCUCAAGAACAAUUGCUUCCUUCUACAAAGACUGUACCAAGCAGCCAUCCCAACUGCCCUCCGCCGCCCACAGCCCUGCCCCAUCAUUGGCUCUGCAGCCAGGCCACUCUCUUAAAACACAAGUGUCAUCAUCAACAACAGGUAUCAACAACAACAGCAACAAGAAAAAAAAAAAAACAGAAAGAAAGAAACAAACUAAGACCAGGCACACACCCCCAAUCCCACCACCUGACAUAGAGGCAAAUGGAUCUCUAUGAGUUCAGGGCCAGCCUGGUCGACAUAGCAAGUUCCAAGCCAGCUAGAGCAACAUAGUGUCUUAGAAAAAAAGGAGACAUUGGCUUACUCAGUUUUCUGACUUAGCUUCAAAUUACUCCUCAGCAAAAUUUCUCAAACUACUCAAGGAGAGCCCCCCCAAACUGUGUGCUCCAACAGUCAGGAAAUCUUCAUGAACAAAAGUAAUUCUUUAUUAUUAUUCUGUUCCCGGGCCUUGGAUAGAGUAUGGCAAAAGCCAAAGGUUAAUAAUUAUUUUUAAAUAAAUAACCAGUAACAUACUACAGUAGUCUCCCUUUCCCCUUGUUUCCAUGGUUUCAAUUACUGGAGGUACAGCACUGUCUGAAAAUAAUGAAUGAAAGUUCCAGAAAGAAACAACUCAUAAAUUUAAAGUU